UCGCGCUGUUAGUAAGUUCCACUUAAGACGUUCGAGCCAUUUGAAUACAGUUUAAGAAAAGUGCUCGUGUGAACAGCACCGAACGGCGGUGUUGACGGUGUUUUAAGACGUUACUUGGUUGGAAUAUAUUUCAGAAGUUUGUUGGCCAACGCUGAAAAACAGCUGUGUGGCAGCAACAAAUUCGCAACAAAAGUGUAAAUAAAAUCAAAAGUUGAAAUAAGAAAAUAAAAACAAAAACAAAAAACACAAACGAAAAUAAAAGCAAAGUGCGCAAGCUGUGUGUUGUAAUCCAAAGCAAAGCAAAGCAAUGAGAGUCAGCGCGCGUUGCGAGCAGUGAGCGUUAAUAUUUGUAAAUAAAACGCGGCAUUGCAACAACAGUGCAGCAGCAACAAAAACAAAAGCGAAAAAUAAAUUUAAUCAAAAAUUGCAAAAUCUGCACGCGGCUCAGCUGUGCGCCAGAGUGUGUGUGUGGAAAAUCUCUGCGCCGAACCAAUACAAAAACAAAGCAAACUAAAUUAAAACGCAACGAAAGCGAGUCAGUGCAACAGAUAAAAACGCCAGAAGAAGUGAAAAACAAAAAAAAAAAAAAA